ensembl:snoRNA SNORA63 Small nucleolar RNA SNORA63
UGGCAGGUUGGGUUCAUUGUUACAAUGUAGCUGCGAAGUGCUGUAUUGUCCUUUCCCCCUGCUGAGAGCAAGUGGUUCCCACAAUCUCUGUCUAGCUCAGUUCUGUAGUAAGACAGGGACGCUUGGUCUCAAACAU